GAAAGUAUUUUAAAAUUCCUUCAACGUGCACUAAAACGUUUUCAUCCUUACAAACUGAUGGCAUCUCCAUUUCAUUUUGUAUGGAAAAGCAAAUAAAAAUACAAAACGAAACUAAGCUAGUGAAAAAGAGAAAACUUGAAGAAAAAGAAACGGAUCGUACAGGAGAUAUACCCCACUAUUCUAACAGAGUCACAAAACUUAGCUCAUCACUGUUGUGAUUUCCAGUGCGCCGAGAAAUAAUACGGCUGUUAAUAAAAAUACGUGCAACAAAAUAUGAAAAUAAAAUUGGUCUAGAUCCUAUGUGUCGGCUAAUUUUAGCUGGCAUCCAGAACAAUGUUCCUGUGAAAAUUAAAAAUUCGUACUAUCAACACCUUUCUGGUUUCUAUUCUCGCAAAAUAAAACUAAAUAAAUAUACGAAAGAUUUCACCACAAAUUCAGAAUUGUCUGCGAAUUCGUCAAAUUUUAAAGAAUAUUGUAAAUUUGAACUUGAAAUACUGGAGCAAAAACAAAAAAUAGCCUCGCAAAGAAAGGUGGCUCGGCUGAAGCUGAAGAAAUACAUUUGCCGACAAAAAGCCUGCAACCAAGUUGCGCAACAACUGGUACCAAACAAAGAAGAGAAAACUUUAAUCUGCACCAAACUCACCAAUACGCGGAUAUAGGCGAGUACCUAAUCGCCUACUAAUCGCAGCUUUAAGACAACGAACAGCAGACAUUCUAAUGGUUAACGAAUUCAGAACAACCAAACUUUGCGCAAAAUGUUACAACGUAAGCCUGACGUCCAAAUCGCCACACAGGUACCAGUUUUGUCCAAACUGCCGUACUUGCUGGAAUCACGACGUCAAUGCUGGGAAAAACAUUCUCUACCUGGGAGAGUGUAUCAUUAACCAAGAACAAUUAGAAUUUUCACAAAUAAGAUGUCAUUAUUUCAUUUAUGGCGCAAAAUAUGUACAUCUGACUGGCAACAGUUUAACUUAUGAUACUAUAAACAAUUGUAAGUUGAUAAAAAAGUUGUAAUACACCCCUCCCUAGCCUCGCAAAUAUCAGAAAAAAGCACGAACCACACCCACUUCUUAGUUUUUUUUAGCUUAACGGGUCGUAUUCUGCACUUAUGCAUUUUUUAACACCUCCGAAUGGAUUUCUGCCUUAAAAAAGGCAUCUCAUAAAGUCUAUUUGCUGUUCGGAGGCGUCGUAAGACUGUAGGUCCCUCCAUUUGUGUCACAAGAUCACGACGCAGCACCAAAAUAUUAUUAUUAUUAUACAAGUAAAUUUCGUCAAUAAAACCAGUGUUUAUUUUUUAGAUUUA